rnacentral:misc_RNA from 1 species
AGAGAGAGAGAGAGAGAGAGAGAGAGAGAGAGAGAGAGAGAGAGAGAGAGAGAGAGAUUUUAAGUAUUUACUACACAAUAUGCAUAAAGACACACCAAAAAGAGCCCGGCUCUCAGUACUUUGAUUAGGUCAAGGCAUUUUGGCCAGAUGGAGAUGAUAAUUAUGUCAGAAGUCUCUGAAUAUUUACAAGAGUUUGGGUCACUUUAUUAUAGAGUGUUACAACCAGAACUGACAAUCAAUUAAUUGUUUCCUAUUUAUAUUUUAUAUCGGAUAGUGAAAUUUGAAAAAAAAAUUAAAACAGCAGGUCCCUGUGGCCAUGCUAUUUUGUCCUACAUAGAUACACAGCACAAUUUACACGCGAUUGGGAGCGGUCUCAAACAUUAUUUAUUCAUAUUUUUGGUUUGUUUUUUUUGGCGUUGUAAAAAGUGAUAAAGGAGCGGAAUUGAUUACAUUCCAUAUUUUGAAUAUUUUCAUAUAUUUUUCUAGGAUGGUUAUAGGUCCAGGAAAAAGAAAAGCUUUACAUCAUUGAUAACAAUUUUCUCAUGUAGUUUCCACAUUUUAUAUUUUGCAGUGUUCUUAAAUGUGAUGAAAAAUAAAAAAAUA